ACCCUGGGUCUUGGUUUACAUUAGAAUAUGAGGCAGAUGACAAGAGUGACCGUGCUCCUGACCUUGGGUACUUUGAGUCUUGCUAAGACCUCCCAGCCCAUCUUCAUUGACUCAUACGAAGGACAAGACGUGAACAUAUCCUGUAACCACACCACGAUAGCUAUAAAUGACUAUAUUUUCUGGUAUCGACAGUUCCCCAACCAGGGACCACAAUAUAUCAUUCAAGGAUAUAAGACAAAUGCGGAAAAUGAAGUGGCAUCUCUGUUCAUUCCUACUGACAGGAAGGUCAGCACCCUGAGGCUGCCCCGGGCUUCCCUGAGAGACAGCGCUGUGUACUACUGCAUCGCGAGGACGCACACCUCGACAGAUGGGGCUGCACCUGCCCAGUAUCCCCGGGUUGAGUCCUUUGGGGACCAAAUGGAGACAAGAAUAAUGGCAAAGUUCCCGGGAAUCUUGCUAGUGAGGCUGCAGCUUAGUCAGGACUGUGAGGAUGUUAUUAUUAAUGUUUUAGUGUUGAACCUUGAGGGGAAGCCCAUUCUGAGGAGCUGUGGCCCUGCUGUUGGCUUGCUUCUGGGGACAGCCCCUGUGUGA